rnacentral:lncRNA from 1 species
GAACAGGGUGAGCAGCAUGGAUCUUUAUGUCAAUGCCAUGGAGAUAUUCUCUCUGAGCUCCAGAGCUGAAGCUGGACCGGGAGAGGAGAGAGCAGCCCAGGGGACGGAGUAGGAGUAGAAUGAAGCUGACCCUACAUGCUGAUCUUAGAAGGCAGCAGGAGCGAGGAGCAGAAACAGACCUCCCCUCAGACCUGAAACCCAGGCCCCCCAUAACCCCUCCCCUACAGAGCAGCAGCACUAAAGGAGUAGACACAGGUGGAGGAGAGGAGAGAGGAGAGGAGAGCAGACACAGGACACAGAUUGAACAGCAACAUCCAACACAGCCCACAGUCUACAGGAGGAGGGGAGGAGGAGGAGGACUCAGGAGGACUGGUGUCUGGACAAAACAUUAAAC